GAAGUGACGCGUUAGAUACAGUUGGACGCCAUCACCAGUGUCUGUCAGAAGGCUGGAGAUAUAUGGGACACUACCUUCUGCAUGGAAAAUUGCCACCAUAAUCCCCGUCCUGGAACCCGGAAAGGAAGCCUCUUGUCCUGCCAGUUAUCGUCCCAUCGCGCUGACAAGCUGCAUAGGAAAAACCUUCGAGCGAAUGAAUUUCAGUGUGGGUUUCGAAUGGGGUGCUCCACCAUGGACCACCUCGUUCGUCUAGAAUCAACCAUCCGUGGAGCUUUUGUCAGGAGACAACACUGCUUGUCAGUUUUCUUUGACUUGGAGAAAGCAUACGACACUGCGUGGCGAUAUGGCAUCCUACAGGAUCUCCAUUCGUUCGGUAUACGGGGUCGUCUCUUUAAAUGUAUUGCUGAUUUCCUACAACACAGAACAUUCAGAGUU